rnacentral:rRNA from 1 species
GACGAACGCUGGCGGCGUGCUUAACACAUGCAAGUCGAACGGAAAGGCCCUGCUUUUGUGGGGUGCUAGAGUGGCGAACGGGUGAGUAACACGUGAGUAACCUGCCCUUGACUUUGGGAUAACUGCAGGAAACUGGGGCUAAUACCGGAUAGGAGCUCGUGCUGCAUGGUGGGGGUUGGAAAGUUUCGGCGGUUGGGGAUGGACUCGCGGCUUAUCAGCUUGUUGGUGGGGUAGUGGCUUACCAAGGCUUUGACGGGUAGCCGGCCUGAGAGGGUGACCGGCCACAUUGGGACUGAGAUACGGCCCAGACUCCUACGGGAGGCAGCAGUGGGGAAUAUUGCACAAUGGGCGGAAGCCUGAUGCAGCAACGCCGCGUGCGGGAUGACGGCCUUCGGGUUGUAAACCGCUUUCGCCUGUGACGAAGCGUGAGUGACGGUAAUGGGUAAAGAAGCACCGGCUAACUACGUG